UACGUAGGGGCGCAAGCGUUAUCCGGAAUUAUUGGGCGUAAAGAGCUCGUAGGCGGUUUGUCGCGUCUGCUGUGAAAACCCGAGGCUCAACCUCGGGCCUGCAGUGGGUACGGGCAGACUAGAGUGCGGUAGGGGGAGAUUGGAAUUCCUGGUGUAGCGGUGAAAUGCGCAGAUAUCAGGAGGAACACCGGUGGCGAAGGCGGGUCUCUGGGCAGUAACUGACGCUGAGGAGCGAAAGCGUGGGGAGCGAACAGG
rnacentral:rRNA from 1 species